ACAGAUUCUUGCUGCAAGGAAAUAACAGCUGGUGAUGGAACUUCAUUCUUUUGACUUCUAGAUUCCUUGCCAAGAGCUGUUUCCUAAGAAGAGGUGCUUCCUAGGAAGGCGAGGUGGCCACCAUUCUCCGCGGGGCAGAGCCAGGGGGCCCAGGCCCAGUGCGCUGACU